GGUUGACCUCGGAUCAGGUAGGGAUACCCGCUGAACUUAAGCAUAUCAAUAAGCGGAGGAAAAGAAACCAACAGGGAUUGCCCUAGUAACGGCGAGUGAAGCGGCAACAGCUCAAAUUUGAAAUCUGGCGCAAGCCCGAGUUGUAAUUUGUAGAGGAUGCUUCAGGGCAGCGGCCGUUCUAAGUCUUUUGGAACAAGGCGUCACAGAGGGUGAGAAUCCCGUAUGCGACCGGCGCGCACCCGUCACGUAGCUCCUUCGAC
rnacentral:rRNA from 1 species